GAUGAACGCUAGCGGCAGGCCUAACACAUGCAAGUCGAGGGGUAACAGGGAGUGCUUGCACUCUGCUGACGACCGGCGCACGGGUGCGGAACGCGUAUGGAACCUGCCCCUGUCAGGGGAAUAGCCCAGAGAAAUUUGGAUUAAUGCCCCAUGGUAUCGAACCACCGCAUGGUGGUUUGAUUAAAGAUUUAUCGGACAGGGAUGGCCAUGCGUACCAUUAGCUAGUUGGUGAGGUAACGGCUCACCAAAGCAACGAUGGUUAGGGGCCCUGAGAGGGGGAUCCCCCACACUGGUACUGAGACACGGACCAGACUCCUACGGGAGGCAGCAGUGAGGAAUAUUGGACAAUGGCCGAAAGGUUGAUCCAGCCAUGCCGCGUGCAGGAUGACGGCCCUAUGGGUUGUAAACUGCUUUUACAUGGGAAGAAACCUCCCCUCGUGAGGGGAGCUGACGGUACCAUGAGAAUAAGGACCGGCUAACUCCGUGCCAGCAGCCGCGGUAAUACGGAGGGUCCGAGCGUUAUCCGGAAUCAUUGGGUUUAAAGGGUCCGUAGGCGGGCCUAUAAGUCAGGGGUGAAAGGCCACGGCUCAACCGUGGGACUGCCCUUGAUACUGUAGGUCUUGAGUUAUAGUGGGGUUGCCGGAACAUGUGGUGUAGCGGUGAAAUGCAUAGAUAUCACAUAGAACACCGAUCGCGAAGG
rnacentral:rRNA from 1 species